UUCUGAUAAGUGUAGAGAAAAUGGGUGGGGGAAUAUUAUGUUAAUUUGUGUUAGCAGGGGUAGGCUUGGUAGAGAAACCAGAAGGGAGAGGUAGUUGCAUAAGGAAAGGCUUAAUGGAAGGGUGUAAGCUGUGGAAUAUGAUCCAAGCAGGGACGUGUCAGCUAUUAAGGUGCACCAAAGAUUAAGCAAAGUUAAGAGGCAUAGUGAAGCCUACCUAAAUGAUAUAUGGUGAUAGCUAGGAGCAUCACAGUAUUGUGCAACUCAUAUAUAAGAGCCAAGUGGAGUUAGUUUGACCAUGGUCAGAGGAGUACAGCUUGAACUCCAACGACAGGCUUAAGACUUAAGAAGAAAUUGAAGGUUUCAAGCAGCUGAAGUAAGAGCUGAUAUUUAUUUCAUUCAGAACCAACUUGUGUGGUGUGACAAGUAGUGACCCGGGAGAACGUCACAUGUUUGGCUUCUCAUCUGUGUAUAGCGCAGGGUAUUAUGAUGCGAACUGAAUGUUCGACAUAUUAUUUUAUUAAACACCUUAUUUGAAUUUAUAA